AUCCUUUGUGGCCCAUAAGUGUGAGGGCUGGAGGUUCAAAUCCUUGUAUGAGAUGCGCCUUCCUCACACCUGGCUAUGACAUUGGCACGUGACCCACCUGAUG
ensembl:snoRNA